UGUGUGUGUGCGCGCAGUAUUCUUGUACGAACUACAGAAUGGGAAAGCAUCAAAGCUAAUAUGCCAUGGUUGUUGGAUGCCAUUGUUUGUGUGGCAUUGGACCUAUUUAUAAUAUUGCAGUACAUCAAUUACAGAUACCAUCGAAAGACAAGUCCAAGUGAAUAUGGUAAUUGUGAAGACUACAAAGAAGCCAGAAAAACUAUUGUUUCUUGAUUUCUAGAGAUGUAACAUUAAUUUUGAAUUGAACUAAUAUUAGUAUAUAGUACUUUCUACUAGUCCACUAUAACAUUCAACUAUAGUAUGCUGUGGACUAUAUGAGUAACUACCAAUCAAAGUUAACAAUGUCAAGCUUAUGAAAUUUGAACCGUUCAUGGUUCUUAAUUAUACCUUAUUUGUAUUAAGCUCUAUCAAAUCAAAUGAUUAAUUAUAACCAUGUGUUAACAUA